rnacentral:rRNA from 1 species
ACUCCUACGGGAGGCAGCAGUGAGGAAUAUUGCGCAAUGGGCGAAAGCCUGACGCAGCGACACCGCGUGAAGGAUGAAGGCUUUCGAGUCGUAAACUUCUGUUAAGUGGGAAGAAAAGCUCAUUUCUAAUAAAAUGAGUAAUGACGGUACCAUUAGAGAAAGCACCGGCUAAACUCGUGCCAGCAGCCGCGGUAAUACGAGUGGUGCAAGCGUUAUUCGGAAUCAUUGGGCGUAAAGGGUGCGUAGGCGGCAUGCUAAGUCAACUGUUAAAUCUUCCGGCCUAACUGGAAGCUUGCAGUAGAUACUGGUGUGCUAGAGGUUGGAAGAGAGAAGUGGAAUUCUCGGAGUAGCGGUAAAAUGCGUAGAUCUCGAGAGGAACACCGAUGGCGAAGGCAGCUUCUUGGUCCAAAUCUGACGCUGAGGCACGAAAGCGUGGGGAGCAAACAGGAUUAGAUACCCUGGUAGGCUCUGCU